AUGCUAAACAAACAUGAGGUGUUGCGCUUACAGUCCAGGUGGGAAUAUGAUAUAAAACGAUACCUGCGGUUCCUGCCUGAAUGCAAAAAGUGCGUGCUUUGGAGGUUUUUGAGGACAGCAGAGUUCAGUUCAGUAGGCUGCUGCGACCCAGCAAGUAUUCGGGAAGACCCGGUGCUGCUCUGUGGGGCUCUGGCCACUCCGGGCCUGGCCGGCACCAUGUGUGUGUUCGGGUACGACUGGCGCCGUGCGCGUUCCACCCACGAGUUUUCCUCCAAGGACAUCGACGGGCACACGGUUAACCUGGACAAGUACCAGGGCUUCGCGUGCAUCGUCACCAACGUGGCCUCCCAAUGAGGCAAAACCGAAGUGAACUAUGCUCAGCUUAUCGACCUGCACGCCCCAUACUCUGAGUGUGGUUUGCGGAUCCUGGCCUUCCCCUGCAACCAGUUCAAGAAACAGAAGCCGGGGAGUAACGAAGAGGUCAAAGAGUUCGCCUCUGCUUAUAACAUCAAAUUCAACAUGUUCAGCAAGAUCUGCAUGAAUGGGAAAGACGCCCACCCGCUGUGGAAGUGGGUGAAGGUCCAGCCCAAGGGCAAGGGCCUCCUGGGAAAUGCCAUGUAGUGGAACUUCACCAAGUUCCUCAUCGACAAGAAUGGCUGCGUGGUGAAGCGGUGCGGACCCAUGGAGGAACCGCAGGUCAUAGAGAAGGACCUGCCCUGCUAUUUCUAGCUCCACAAGUGUGUGGCCCUGUCCAGGCCCCUGCCCUCGCCCCCGGAGCCUUCCACCUGGCACCCAUGACGGCCUGCCUGCAAACCAGCUGAUGGUGGGGCAGACCUGAAAACCCGGCGUGCACCCCCGCCGGAGGAAGGUCCCGUGGUCCGCUGGGCUCGGCUUGGCGCCCCCACCCCUGGCUGCCUUGUGGGAAUAAACAAGACAAAUU